GUGGGGAAUAUUGGACAAUGGGCGCAAGCCUGAUCCAGCCAUGCCGCGUGAGUGAUGAAGGUCUUAGGAUUGUAAAGCUCUUUCACCGGUGAAGAUAAUGACGGUAACCGGAGAAGAAGCCCCGGCUAACUUCGUGCCAGCAGCCGCGGUAAUACGAAGGGGGCUAGCGUUGUUCGGAAUUACUGGGCGUAAAGCGCACGUAGGCGGAUAUUUAAGUCAGGGGUGAAAUCCCAGAGCUCAACUCUGGAACUGCCUUUGAUACUGGGUAUCUUGAGUAUGGAAGAGGUGAGUGGAAUUCCGAGUGUAGAGGUGAAAUUCGUAGAUAUUCGGAGGAACACCAGUGGCGAAGGCGGCUCACUGGUCCAUUACUGACGCUGAGGUGCGAAAGCGUGGGGAGCAAACAGGAUUAGAUACCCCUGUAGUCC
rnacentral:rRNA from 1 species